rnacentral:misc_RNA from 1 species
AAGCUGCGAUAAGUAAUGUGAAUUGCAGAAUUCAGUGAAUCAUCGAGUCUUUGAACGCACAUUGCGCCCCCUGGCAUUCCGGGGGGCAUGCCUGUCCGAGCGUCAUUGCUGCCCUUCAAGCCCGGCUUGUGUGUUGGGUCGUCGUCCCCUCCGGGGGACGGGCCCGAAAGGCAGCGGCGGCACCGCGUCCGGUCCUCGAGCGUAUGGGGCUUUGUCACCCGCUCGAUAAGGACCGGCCGGGCGCCAGCCGGCGUCUCCAACCUUUUUUUCUCAGGUUGACCUCGGAUCAGGUAGGGAUACCCGCUGAACUUAAGC